AAUGGAGCGUGGGGUUGGUGGCGGGGCAUGGAGUCGACAAUGGAGCGUGGGGUUGGUGGUGAUGGGGCGUGGGGUUGAUGAUGGGGCGUGGAGUCGACGAUGGAGCAUGGGGUUGGUGAUGGGGCGUGUGGUUUAUGACAGCUUGUGUCAGACGAAGCCACAUCAACUCAUCCUGAGCACCCCUUUUCUCAGAACAUAAGGAUGAGCAUGAUCAAAGUCCCGUGACUUUUUUCCUGAGCCCCUGAGAUGGAUGAACUACUGCUGGUAGGUGGGUAGAUUAACAAACAGAGGUGAGGAAUGUUGGUAUGAAUAAGAUCCCCAGGCUGCCAUGUGACUGAAGCUCUGACUGGUCGUGCUGGUUAAAGAUAUAUCUGAGCAAGAUUGGUUGCUGACAGGCAGGUGUGUAGAAAAUAACCUGUAUGUGGUGGUCCAUUUUCAAUUGUAAGUGCCUUUAUAUAGGUUUAAGUAGGCUAUGUGGAAAUAGAGAAAUAAAGAAGCAGAAAUGUACUGUCACCACCCCCCUCUCCUUCCUGCUUUCCCUUUCACCCAGCGGCCAGGUGCCUAUCAGUCGGGGCCCCUUCAACUACCCUCUCCCCACCCCACCAAAGCAUUUAGUUUAGGCUAGCUUGCAGCAUAAAUAAUUAUACUCUUUCUUAUCAGCUACAUGCAGCCACUAGGGCCAUAGUCAAAUGUUUGAAGAGUCCUGAGACUGUUGCAAGCAUGGUGGGCUAUAAUAAAAUGCAGUAGAAAGAUCCUAAAGAACAUACUUGAAACCUUAAUCCAACUACCAAUAGGUGAUGCCCAGGAAGAUUGUAACCCCAUUUACUCAGCCCAUGAGGAACUGGGGGAGGGACCUGUGCACUAGGGGAUACAUUGCUUGUUGAAACUCUGCUGGGGGUACCUGCAUGCCAGCCAGACACACGAUCUUGCAAGACCGUCAUUGAAAAUCUCCGUUUCACUGUUCUCCAGGUCUCUGAGUCCAUUCUUUGGGUUUGGACGGGUGAGUUUGUUUCUCACAGGUGCGACUGUCUCUAUUUGCAUCAGGUUCAGUUUCUUCCUGGUUGACCUUGUGGGUGUGAAUGUUGUCACAGACCUGCUGGGCCAUCUUUCUGCAAGAAGAUAAAAGAAGACCAGGAGUGCCUGCCGAGCUCCUGCAGAGGAAGUCUAGGAGAGGAAAGGGUGGAACCAAGGGCACUGCUGUGGGCUGAAGGUUUGCAUCCCCCCAAAUCCUUAUGUUGAAAUCCUUAACCCCACUGGGAUGGUGUUUGGAGAUGGGACCUUUGGGAAAUGAUUAGGUCAUGGGGUGGAGCCCCAUGAAGGGAUUAGUGCCCUUGGAAGAAGAAACACCAGAACCAGCCUCUUCUCCCUACUCACCAUCCGUCCUCUCUGCUGAGGACAGAGACGAAGAUGGCGUCUGCAAACCAGGAAGCAGCCUCGCCAGACACAGGAUUGGCCGCAACCUUGACCCCAGACUUCCAGCUUCCAGAACUGUGAGAAAUAAAUGUCCAUAUUAACUAGGGGCACAGGACAUGGGGGAAGCUGGUUCCAGACCUGCCUCCUGGGAAGUGGGAGGGGGCAUUUCAACCUGUUAAUUUCUCAAAUUAAAUAGUCAUUCAAAAAGAGAAACAGAAACACCUCAUUAACUCUGUGAUUGCCAAAUUAUUGAUCAAUUCUCAUAGAAAGUUAUAAAAUUUUCCCUUCUGGUACAUUUCUGUUAAAAAGAAGGUUGUCUUUCCAGCCUUAUGUUUCGUAGUUUAUUUUGUCUACAUUCAUUAUACAUCCAUUAUUUAAUACAUUUUUCUUCCAGUUGAUCAUGUUACUUGCUGAUAGGAAGGACUGAGUUCAUUUUCAGUGUGUCUGGUUUUUCCAUUUCUGUGCCUGGGAAGGUGGGUGGCUCCAUCAUCAUCCAUGGUCUCUGAAAUAUCCGGUGUUACCAAGGCCUGCUUGUUCCACCAAACUGCUCCAUGGGCAGUUGUGACACCCAGAAAGAUGCUGAUAUGGUUUGACUGUGUCCCCACCCAAAUCUCAUCUUGAAUUGUAGUUCCCAUAAUCCCCAGGUAUCUGGGAGGGACCCGGUAGGAGGUAAUCAAAUCAUGGGUGUGGGUUUUCCCAGCUCUUCUUUUGAUAGUGGAUACAUCUCGAGAGAUUCUGAUGGUUUUAUAAACAGGAAUUUCCCUGCACAGGCUCUCUUGCCUGCCGCCAUGUAAGGCCUGCCGCCAUAUAAGACCUGCCUCUGCUCCUCCUUCACCUUCUGCCAGGAUUGUGAGGCCUCCCCAGCCAUGUGGACCUGAGUCCAUUAAACCUCUUUUUCUUUAUAAAUUACUCAGUCUCAGGUAUUUCUUCACAGCGCUGUGAAAAUGGAUUAAUACAGACGCAGCUGGCAUGAGGCAACUGUCUUUUCCAACUUGGAGUUAUUCUCAGAAACUGCAGUAACUCAACGUUGGGAACAGAAAUGCACCACCCUGAGGUCAGGGAUUUUAGGAGACAGUCUGGAAGCUUCUGUUGCCCGGGUAAGCCCUCAGUGCCCUCACUGAUGUGUGCGAAGCUGCUCUUUCUGUGAAUGGACCCUAUCCCAACCAGGAGGCCUGGAAGCUGCAGCUUUGAGGUUUUGAUUUUUAUGGAAGAGUCCUUGGUGGUCCUCACAAUCUGGAGGCUGAGAGUCCAAGGUCAAGCAGCUGGUUCCUCUGGAGGCUCCGUGGAAGAAGCCCUUCCAUGCUGGUCUCCUUCCUCUCGAGUUCCUGGCAACCCUUGGUGUUCCUUGCCUGGUGAAUGAAUCACCCACCUUUGCCUCCGUCUGUCCAUGGUGUUAUCCCUGUGUCUCUGCCCAAAUCUCUCUCUCCUUAUGAGGACACCAAAUGGAUGACCUCAUCUCAGCUUGAUCACAUGUGCAAAGACCCUGUUUCCAAAUGAGGUCACAUUUUCAGGUGUGAGGGUUAGAACUUCAGCUGUCUUUCUGGGGGACACAGCACCAUCCGCAGCUGUGAGGACACUGGACAAAGCCCAGCUCGGACCUGGCUCGGGUCGGAGGGGAGGGGCACAGGCAGAUUUGCCUCUUUCCUGUUUUGCCGUUUUCCACGUAACUCAUAUUUUCUACUUUAGAGGAACCAUUUACGGAAAACUACAGGAUAAAGGAAAAACAAAUGGUGGAGGAAACGAAAUCUGUCAGCAAUCAGCGAGAUUGUUAAUUUCCUCGUGAGGAGCCAGUUGAUUGAAGGGUGCCUGUAAUUUACAACUUCAGCCUUGGGAAAAAUGUGCACAGUUAUUUUUCCGUCUCCAUGAAGGAAACAUUUAGAUGGGCACUCAUGGGGCUGGUUGCCGAUUCAGAGGAACGUGCAGGGGCACCCACCCUCCAGGCGUGGGAAGAGAGAAGUGUGUGCGUCCCUGGCCUCUCCGGGCUCUAAGUUAGUUUUAUGGGAGCUAAAGCCUCCCUGCUUCCCGAAGCCUGGGGAUUUGGGAGUGCUGGCCCCGGGCUCUGUGUGGCCUGGGACUUCGACUGCAGCUCGGAAUUCUCAGGCUCGGCGGUGGCAGCUGGUGCCCUUCUCCAGGCAUGGCUCUGGCCGUGUGCCCGGAACAGCAGGCAAGGUCCUGGUGCCAGCCCCAUCACAGGUGGCACGGGACCUGAGACAGAUUUGGCCCUCUCUGCCCAGGCCCCCUUGCUGGGAAAGCAGAGGCUCAUCUGACCUCCGGGAACCCCCACUCUCACCUCGGAGGAUGUUUUGGGCGAUGCUGUGUGUUGCCAUCUUUGGGGAAAACUAGUUUAAUGAAGGAGUCACGAAUUUGGCGAGGGGCCGCCUCCGCUGACGGUGUUUCCUGAGUCCCCGCCCGUCACUGGGGCCCGAGAGCACGUGUGACUCCAUUGGAUGGGCGGGACUGGCUGUGACCAGCUGUUCCAGGUGACGCUGCGCUGGGACAGCUCCGUGGCAGGGCCCUGGGGUGAGCUGGGCAGGGACCCGGGAGGUCAGAGGCCCCUGGGUCGUGGCCACGCAGCUGGAGAGCUGGUGCUGGGAGUGUGUGCUGAGGGGCAGCACGGGCCCAGGGGCUCCUUCCCACCGGCUCUGGUGGCUCAGCCCGGAAAUGUGUGCAGGGACGCGUGCUGGCCACACAUCACCGUGAGGAUGCACUUGACUGAAUCUGGAAGGAUCCCAGGGCUGUGGAAGAUUUUGGAAGAUAAAAUGCCCCCAAGGAAGCAUGCGUUAAUAAAUGAAUAAAUAUGCCCAGGCUGAAACGAUUUCCUGCAACAACUAUUCACUGGGCAGGCCCUGGUAGGGUCCUCACCUUCCCCACGCCUGUUUGAAGUGUGAGUCCUUCUCAGAAUGGGCAGAAGGAGCAGGUGGUACUGAUGAGAUGCAGCCAUCGUCACCCACAUUCCCGCACCUUACCAGGAUGAGCAUCUCCAAAGCGGGGCAGAGCUGGGCUCCGUGAGUGAGCACUGCGUUGAGAAACCACCUUGUGUAAGUGCAAAGAGGCUUGUCCCACAGCUCCUGGUCACCAAAAGCUGUCAGCUCCUCUCAUCGGACCUUGGGUCUUGGGCACGUCCUUCCAGCCUCAGUGCCCCAGGAAGGAAUUCAGAGACAGUGGCUUCAACCUCCCAGGGCCGUGUAGAGGCCAAACCAGAGCGACUGUGGGUGGAGCACCUUGCCCCACCUGGGCCCGGCUGCAAGGGUAUCACAGGCCAGACCCUUCACUCUGCCCUCCCCAUGUGCCCAGGCCCUCCGGGAGCUCUGGCAGUCCCAGCUGAAGGUAGAAAUCUUCUUACUGUCCCCCACACUGUGUCUGUACAAAGUGAGACGCUGACUUCCCAACUCACCCACCCGCUGCACUGGGUCAAGCUGAUAAGAGCAGCCCCUGAAGCCACAGAAAAGUCCUAGGCAUGCCAGGAAAACGCGAAGCCCCUGGGGGCCCUGGGAUGUGAGCUCUGCGCAUGGAGGCGUGUUGGCUUGGGGCGAUCUUUCCAAUGCACUUCAGAGCCUCUGGGAGACCAGAGAAGAGAGCUCCGGGACAGGUGGGCACAGGCACAGUGUGGGAUCACUUGCCCCCCUGACCCCAGGAGACUUCACAGUCCAGGCAGAACUCACUAGAAGGAAACAAACUCAGGCCUGCCAGGGCACAUUUUGCACUUGCCAUGAGUGUGGUGGUUCUGUUAACAUUCCCAGUAAAUCCGCUGUCCCAUCAGGACACAGGGAUGGAGGUUCCUGUGGCCGGGGCCUUGCCAGGGGGCAUGCGACUUCUGGUGGAGCUCUGGGCCCCGCAGGUCCGGACAUGGCUGCAUUCUUCAUUAGUGCCGUCUCUGGGCCAUGACGAAGAGUCUCUUUAUUUUUAUUAAUUGAAUAAUCAAUUAAUUUUUGCCUAAGGAAGUUGCCAGGUUUUAGUUCCUGCAGAGAAUUCUUAGUUUCCCAAAUAGGCAUUCAUGAUCAAAGCUCAUUUUCAGACGUUGGAGGGGGUGCGAAAGGAGAUGUAAUUGCCAAUUAUUUGGAAUCAUCUGAAUUGCAAUCACUUGAAUGGCAGAUGAUUUAUGCAACGGCCUGGAACCUUGAAGCUUGUUUGGAAUUCUUCCAGGUUGGGAGGCUGGGAGGGGCCCUCUGCCUUUCAGGAUCCCUCCUGCCACCGUGUGUGGACUGAAUAACCACAGAGUGAGGCCGACGGAAACCUGGCAGUGCACAGAGAGCAGCGGACCCCUCCUGCCACCGUGUGUGGACUGAAUAACCACAGAGUGAGGCCCACGGAAAGCUGGCAGUGCACAGAGAGCAGCGGAUCCCCUCCUGCCACCGUGUGUGGACUGAAUAACCACAGAGUGAGGCCCACGGAAAGCUGGCAGUGCAUGUCUGUUUGUCAUUGUCAGCUUCAAAUACUUUUUAAUUUUGAAUAAUUUUAGAUUUUCAGAAGGGUUAUGAAGAUCGCGCAGGCAGCUUCUGCAAGCUGCUCCUGAUUUCCCUCAGCGUCCACGUCUUCGUUGCCAUGGUGCACCUGCAGCAGCCAAGGAAGCCGCGUUGCAUCGCCACGAACUCAACUCCAGGCUUCGGAUUUCAGAGCUUCCAUCCAUGUCCCCUCUCUGCUGUCACCCCAUCGGGGGUGCCACCUUGUGUCUGAUCCUCCUGUGUCCUCGGCUCCUCUGGUCUGUGACAUUUCUGUCUCUCCUUUGCCACGACCCUGGCAAUGCAGAGGAGCCUGUUGGGCACCCUGUGGAUGCCCCUCCGUUUGGGUUCAUCUGUCCUUUUCCUCAUGGUUAGCCUGGGGUGAUGGGCUUUGGCAAAUAAUACCAGGGAGGUGAAAUGUCCUUCCCCUCACAGCCUCUCGAAGGCGUAGAACAUCCUCUUGACUUCACAGGCGGCAUUAACCUGAUCACUUGUGUGAAAAUAACGAAUUGGGAGGCACUAGGCUGGGGCUCCAGUACCUCAGAAGCAAACCCAAUUCUUGCACACAGAAACCCCAUUCAGGGUAAGGGGUCCUGUCCUAGGAAAGAAAAUUCAAGUUUAAUCAGAGACUGCCAGCUAACCUCAAAACGGGGGCUUUAAGAUGCCAUUUCACUUUAAUCAAUCCCUCUUUCUGUUCUUCCUUCCAAGAACACUUGGCAAAGGUUUGUUUCCCUCGUGCUCCUUGGCAGAGCCCAACCUGCUGUAGUGUGGUGCUGCCCAACUCAUGGAUUCCUGUCUCCCCAAAUAACUCCUUAAACUUCCAUGUGCCUACGUUCAUCUCUCAACGCUUGGAUCCGGUGGCGUCUGCCAGGUGUCUUCGCUGUAAAGUCACCGUCUUCCCUUCCACUGCUCCACUCUUUGGGAUGAGUCACUAAGCCUGUGCUUCCUCCAGGGGAGGGCUAGGGAAGAGGGAAGCUCCAUCUCCUGGAGGGGCUGCUGCGUAUGAUGUUAUCUGGAGUAAGAAAGAUUUGCCUCUUCUCCACAUUUACUUGUUUAUUCAAUUAUCUAUUUAUACCAGUAUGGGCUCAUGCAUAUUUACUUUAUAUUUUGGAUUAUAAUUCAAUCAUCCAAUAUAUUAUUUCUUUUGUUGUUCAAAUUUUUCCAUCUUUGGCCACUGGCAGCCCUUUCACAUGGUACCUGUGUCCAUUGGACAAUCCCCUUCCUUUUGUUUUUUUUGAACAUCUUACUUUUUGAUAUCAUGAGAUACUCCAGGCUCAUCUUGUCUUUUCUCUGAUCCACCCUAGAAUCAGCCCUGGUUCCCCUCGUUGGAGAAUGAUAUUUAGAAACAAAAACCUGGGUGUUGGGUGUGCUCAGUGGGACUGGGGUGUCAUUGCCUCCAGCCCUGUUAGUGAAGACAGCUGGGUAAUGUGCGUGCGGCUAAUACCCUAUGUGUGAACAUGUACUUCAGAUUAUUUCUGGAUCUGUCCAUCCUUAUAUCGAUGCUAAGCUAAAUAUGAGUUCACAUUGAUGUCUCUGAUUCUGAUCUAGUACCACAGGAUUCAGUCUAAACUUCCUUAUUAUAAAUAAUCUUCCCUUCCAACACAAGAAGUCUGCCUCCCAUGGUUUGCCACUUGUUGACUUAUCUGUUCAAUCCCAGUGUAUGUGAAUUGUUAACUUAUACCCCUGUGGGAAAUAAAUUUACCAACGAAGGAACACUA